CAGUAGCGCGGUAAUACGUAGGGUGCAAGCGUUAAUCGGAAUUACUGGGCGUAAAGCGUGCGCAGGCGGUUAUAUAAGACAGAUGUGAAAUCCCCGGGCUCAACCUGGGAACUGCAUUUGUGACUGUAUAGCUAGAGUACGGCAGAGGGGGAUGGAAUUCCGCGUGUAGCAGUGAAAUGCGUAGAUAUGCGGAGGAACACCGAUGGCGAAGGCAAUCCCCUGGGCCUGUACUGACGCUCAUGCACGAAAGCGUGGGGAGCAAACAGGAUUAGAUACCCCCGUAGUCCCUGUCUCUUAUACA
rnacentral:rRNA from 1 species